rnacentral:rRNA from 1 species
UACGAAGGGGGCUAGCGUUGCUCGGAAUCACUGGGCGUAAAGGGUGCGUAGGCGGUUCUUUAAGUCAGGGGUGAAAUCCUGGAGCUCAACUCCAGAACUGCCUUUGAUACUGAAGAUCUUGAGUUCGGGAGAGGUGAGUGGAACUGCGAGUGUAGAGGUGAAAUUCGUAGAUAUUCGCAAGAACACCAGUGGCGAAGGCGGCUCUCUGGACUGUAACUGACGCUGAGGCGCGAAAGCGUGGGGAGCAAACAGG